CAAACAUUCACAACAACAAUAUAGUUCAUCCAAAUCAUUCACAGCAAUAGUUCAUCUCAAAUCAUUCACACAAUAGUUCAUCCCAAAACAUUCACAACAACAACAACAUAGAUCAAAUCACACAUUCAACAUAGAUCGUAUCAAUCAACACAGAGCGAAUCGCACAUUAAGGAAAAAAAGAAAAAAAAGAAAAAGAAAUUCCACGGUAGCGCCGCCUCCACCACCUGCCGCCGCACCGGCCUCCGCGCCGGGCGCAGCCCUCCGGACGAGGCCACCGCCCGGCUGCCUCCCCCUUCAGAUCCGGCGGCAGCCGGCCGCUUCCCCUCCGGAUCCGCCGCCGCCCGGCUGCCGCGGCGUGAGGCCGCCUCCACCCCACCGCGCAAGGGGCCCGCCGCCGCCGCGGCGCGAGGCCGCCUCCGCCUCCGCCCGGCCGCUGACGGAAGAGAGGGGAGGAAUAGAACGGGGAGAGGAGGAGGAGGAAGAGAUGGGAGGAGGAAGAGAGGGGAGGAAUAGAACGGAGAAGAGACGGGAGGAGUAAGAGAUAAGGUUAGGGAAGAGAUAAGAAUAGAAUUUAUUAACUCCUCGAUCUCGUGCACGCCUCAUCCUCUCCGCCACAUGCGUGCAUGCCGA
rnacentral:lncRNA from 1 species